rnacentral:lncRNA from 1 species
UACUAUAUCAGAGUAAAAAUUAUUAAAAAGCUUAAAAAAAGCAAAAAAUUUUCAAAAGAUUUUAAGAACUAUACCAUUUUCACACAUUAUCAUUAUUUCUCCCUCAAAUGCAUGAUUUUCUCCAUUACCUUUAUUUCUCCCCCUUUAUCAUUAUUAUAUAUUUUUUUUGAUCCAUUAUUUCUCUCUCUUUUUGACAUCAUUAAAAAGAAUAAACUAGAAGAGUAGGAUGUUCAUAGUGUUAAGUCAAGUAGCA